rnacentral:rRNA from 1 species
GCAGCCGCGGUAAUACGGAGGAUGCGAGCGUUAUCCGGAUUUAUUGGGUUUAAAGGGUGCGUAGGCGGGUUGAUAAGUCAGUGGUGAAAGUUUGCGGCUCAACCGUAAAAUUGCCGUUGAAACUGUCGAUCUUGAGUGCAAACGAGGCAGGCGGAAUGCGCCGUGUAGCGGUGAAAUGCUUAGAUAUGGCGCAGAACCCCGAUUGCGAAGGCAGCUUGCCAGCAUGCAACUGACGCUGAGGCACGAAAGCGUGGGUAUCAAACAGGAUUAGAUACCCC